GCGGUAAUACCAGCUCUCCGAGUGGUAGGGACGAUUAUUGGGCUUAAAGCGUCCGUAGCCGGCCCGGCAAGUCUUCCGUUAAAUCCAGCGACCUAAUCGUUGGGCUGCGGAAGAUACUGUUGGGCUAGGGGGCGGGAGAGGCCGACGGUAUUCCCGGGGUAGGGGUGAAAUCCUAUAAUCCCGG
rnacentral:rRNA from 1 species